rnacentral:hammerhead_ribozyme from 2 species
GUCCAACUGAUGAGUCCAAAUAACGACGAAACACGUGUCUUGGGC